GGCGAGAAGGUCACACCCGUUCCCAUCCCGAACACGGUAGUUAAGCUUCUCUGCGCCAAUGGUAGUUGGGGGCUUCCCCCUGCGAGAGUAGGUCGCUGCCGGGC
rnacentral:rRNA from 2 species